rnacentral:rRNA from 1 species
UGGCGGACGGGUGAGUAAUGUCUGGGAAACUGCCUGAUGGAGGGGGAUAACUACUGGAAACGGUAGCUAAUACCGCAUAACGUCGCAAGACCAAAGAGGGGGACCUUCGGGCCUCUUGCCAUCGGAUGUGCCCAGAUGGGAUUAGCUAGUAGGUGGGGUAACGGCUCACCUAGGCGACGAUCCCCAGCUGGUCUGAGAGGAUGACCAGCCACACUGGAACUGAGACACGGUCCAG